ACGGGUUUCGUGACAGGCGAGCAUAAAAUCCAUAAUUGUUCGUUGUCGACGAAACCUGCCU
rnacentral:pre_miRNA from 1 species